UUGGAGGGCAAGUCUGGUGCCAGCAGCCGCGGUAAUUCCAGCUCCAAUAGCGUAUAUUAAAGUUGUUGCAGUUAAAAAGCUCGUAGUUGAAUUUCGGGAUCAAUUUGCUGGUCGUGCCUCUGGUACGUACUGGUAUUAUUGGUUUCUCCCUUCUGGCGAACCAUGAUGUCAUUAAUUUGAUGUCGUGGAGAAUCAGGACUGUUACUUUGAAAAAAUUAGAGUGUUUAAAGCAGGCAUUAGCUUGAAUACAUUAGCAUGGAAUAAUGAAAUAGGACGUUUGAUCCUAUUUUGUUGGUUUCUAGGAUUGACGUAAUGAUUAAUAGGGAUAGUUGGGGGCAUUAGUAUUCAAUUGUCAGAGGUGAAAUUCUUGGAUUUAUUGGAGACUAACUACUGCGAAAGCAUUUGCCAAGGAUGUUUUCAUUAAUCAAGAGCGAAAGUUAGGGGAUCGAAGACGAUCAGAUACCGUCGUAGUCUUAACCAUAAACUAUGCCGACUAGGGAUCGGAUGAUGUUAAUUUUUUAAUGACUCAUUCGGCGCCUUACGGGAAAC
rnacentral:rRNA from 1 species